GCUGCGGAUGCUCUAACUGUCACUCUCUUUUUUCAUUUUCAAUUGUACUUUUCUUGGCGGGAAAUACAAAGCGGUGUUUCAAACAGAAUAACUGAGGCUCUCCUGCAAGCUUGAUGGUUCCAAAUUCCAUCUCGUAAAUUUCUCUGGAUCCCUGUCUCAUUUGUGUAUAUGAUUACCUAAUUGCGUUUGUGUAUGUAAAGUGUUUGUGAUAAUGUCUCUUUCAUGCGGUAGUUGAGAAUUCUGGAGUAUUUUUGGUUGCAUUUUGUUGUUUCGAUCUGCUUUUCACACCGUUUAUUGUACGCGCAACUUAUUUGCUUCGAAAUGACGGUGCUGAGGUAUACAUAUUUCGUAUACUUGCAAGCAAACCGGAGCUGUGACGCUGCUGAAAACCUCUGAAUUCGUGAAUUUAUCAUCGGAGGGUGCGUGUACUCCGAAGCUGGAUGUUGUCGAUCCGGAACAAGGAAUCGGAAGAGAUGUGGUUCUGAUGUGAAAUUGGGGAUUGAGACUUGAGAGUUCAGAUUGGAAUCCUGAUGUGAGUAUAGUUUCGGAAGUUUCACCGAAUUUGGAUGAUGGAGGUUUCACGGGACUGUUGGAAAUUAAGCAUGGAUAUGAAAGCUUUGGGGUCUGUGUCAUCUGAAAAGGAUAAGACGGAGAGGCUUAUUGCGCCUCGAGGUCAGGCAAGAGUGUUCCAUACAGAGAAAUAAACGACAUUCAUAUUGCUGGUGAUUCAGCUUGGUAAAGAAGGUGGUGCAGAUUGUGGUGGUGAUGUACCUGUGAAGAGUAUAUCAGAGAUUCAGAGGCUAAAACUGAUAACAAUGACUAGAUGGAAACUUCAUGUAGAGAAUGCGAAAUUGGAGUCCGAAGCAUCCCCUUUGAGGCACGAGAUCUGUUGGUUUGUUUGUAUAAUGAAAACAUGGAUGGUCACUUUCUUGAAUUGAGAUUCACGUAAGAGAUUGUUCGUGGUUAUCUGAGGAGCUAUUUGCCAAGAGUUUUGGAGGUUGCAACACUAACAAUGAUGAAGCUGCAUAUCAAUCGAGCAUCUCUCAAGUGCUCGUCGCUUAGUAAUAUACCCAGAUAUUGGCUUUUCUGAUUUGAGUCAUAUAAAGCCUGGAAAAGUAGAUAGUAUUGGAGCUUUGGCUAACACUCCCAACUUACAGACUUAAGCGGUAAAAUACGAAAACAAAAAAACAAAGGUGACGUAAGUUCCUCUCUC